GCCUUUGGUAUGUGCUAUGAGUAUCAUUGUGGGCCUUGGGGCUUCCAAAGUUGAGUAGUCCUGGCUGAUCUGGUCUUUGGUCCAAUUAUGAAGGUUCACUGGGCAUAAGUCUUUUUGAUCUGAGGUUUCAUUUGUUACCUCCUCCUCUGUUUCUGAGUAUCCUGGUAUACAUGAUUGUGGUGCUUUUGAACUUGGUGACCUGUGGGGCUUGUGAUCUCUGUACUGUCCACAGGUGCCAAUGGAGCCAGUUUGGUAGGAAUGCAUAUAGUCUGUCAGCAGAGACGGUACCUUGAGAUUCCCUUGUUGUGGUCUGCCCGAGGUCUGAUGUUAACAGUGACAUCGCUCAUGGACUCUGUCUCAAGCUGAGGAUGGUCAAGAAGGAGCAUAUUGCAUGCGGCACCAUCAGUGCUGGGAGACUGCCACUGCAAAUGUGCACCUUGCCCAGACACUGCUAUUGAAAACCUCAGAUUAACACUGACACUUGAUAUGGAGCACCCUCAUGGACUGCAUUUGAAGAAAUGUAGAUCAUCACCUAUAAUGCUAGUAGCCAUCCCUUAGCAUCAGCUGCUGAGGGUGGCCAUGCCUCCUCAUUGCAGUGUUCCUGGAUGUGUCCUACAGUAGGAGAAUUAGUAGUCUAGACAGGGGCUGGACUUUACCCCUUCCCUUCCUAGUGGGGCAGGGGAGAAUCAGUUCCCCAAGGCUCAGCCCUUCUGUAAGGUAGGGCCACCAGUGUCAGUCUCCCUGGGCUCCAAGCAGAGCUGGACAAUCAAUAAACUGGACCCCAGUCUCUCAACCAGACAGGACAAUGGUCAACAUGAGUCAGCUUCUCUAACCUCACGCAGGGUGGCAUGGUGUGCACUGGUCUCUCUGACAGAACCAGUUCUAAGAAUAGUCAAGUUCCCUGGCCUUCAGGUACGCUUGGAGUAGUUAGUAAUCCGGGCUCUGCGCUCCUUGUCAGACAGCCCCGUUCAAUAAUAGCUUGGGUUCUCUGGCCUUCACAGGACAGGAAUGAAUACCACUGCAAUGUACUGGCUCAGAUAAGAGGUUGUGUGAUGUAGCACAGUCUCUCCCUCCACAUAAGAGGGGAAUACCACCACCCCAGGGUUGAGUGGGAACAUGGGACCACCCAACUCCACCCCAUCCCAAUGUAGGUUCUGUAUCAGUGGUGGGUAGUCCACCACUGAUCCUGGGUCAGCAGGAUCCAGAGGUUGAGGGUUCCACCCUCCCCGCCCCCCGAGGGACAUACAUUAGCUAGCAGGGCGUAAAUCAGUAGCAAUCUUCUUUACUUGCUUUUCUUGACAAAAUAGUCACUGGUAAGACUAGGACAAGUGUUGCCUGUUUUGUAAGAAUAAAAUAGUAUUUUCUGGUAUAAAGUCAAACUUUUCAGUAGUUAGGUGCUGAGAAUGUUGACAGUAAUUCUCAUAUUAAAAACUCAGUCAACAAUUUUUUUUUAAAAUUCCUUCCUUCCGACAUCCAGCUCAUAGACGGUCAUGAUAUGCCAAGAAAACGUGUCAAAUUAUCUAGCAAACACAGGGGGGUGGUACAGUGAAAGAUUAUCCAGGAGAGGCAUGAAACAUCCUAAGGAGACAUAAGAAGGCAAAGUUUUUUUCUGUAUAGCUAAAGAAAAUUAUAUCAGGCAAGUUUAAUCAACUACCUAUUUUUUACUUUAUAUUUAUAGGGAUAUUUAGCCUCAGUCACAUUUUCAAAUAGCAAUUGUUUAACUGCAUAUAUACAAGUACACAUCUUUGUGCACAGACCAUAAUUGUGCAUACAAACUGGCUAACAGAACAAGCAGAUAUUGAAGAGGCUAUCAGCAAAACAUUAAAACUAUUACAUUUAAGAAGUGCAAUAUGCGGCUCUAUGUUCAUUUGAAUGUUUGCAAAUAGAAAAUGAAGUGUGUUACUAAUGAAACUGGCUUCAGAUAGAUAAGCAAAUGGGUGAACAAACUCCUAUUUACUUCCAUGUGAGUUGGCUCAGGCCUUCAGUCUUAAAGCAGUGUUUUAAUAGGUCAUUUCAGGGUCUUAACAUUUUAAUCCUAGUUACAGAAUGUAUCCAAAUGGAGACUGUAUCCUCCACUAUAAUUUAAAUACAAGUACCCCUGUGAACAAAAAAAAGUUGAAGCAUAUAAAUACUGUAAUUGACACCUAAAUAUUUUGAAACCUUUCAAUCAAAUUAAAUAACCCCCUAAAGAAUACUCUGGGAAUUCACAGGUCUUAAUUUACUUCCUCUGGUAUUUAAUGAUCAGUUAUUCUAUUACCCCAAAUUAUUGUAGGCAUCUAGAUAGCCAUUUUAACCUGCAUUCUAAAGCCAAAUUUUACAUACAGUUAGAUACUUUCUCAAGCAAAGACUAUGUCUUAAUGUCAGCCUCAGAUAACUAAGAAAAAUUAGCUUGUGAAAACAGGAAGUUACACCACACUAUUUUACAGCUUGUAUUAUGUUAAGUGCCUGUUAGAAUUAAGUAGAGAGAUGCUAGGCCAGAGAUCCCAAUUUUCCCUGUUACUUUUAAUUUUUAGUUUGUCUUUAAACUUGACACAUCACUCUACUCAAGUUACUUUCUAGAUAACACACUGACUGCUAUGGGAAGAUAGCAUUCAUACAUACUAGUGCAAAGAUGAUGUAACCUCAAAAUGCAGUGCUUUGUUUUGAGCAAGAGCUGUGUUAAAUGUUUAAUAUUUUGUUUUACUGUGGUUUCUCCUUCCCUCCCCCAGGAAAAUUCAGCAUUAGUGAUUGUGCUAUCCUAUAGAGAUUUGAUUAUAUAGUAAUCCCAGUUUUGUAAAACAAAUUCCUAUAGAAAAAAGAGCUUCUAACACGUGACUCCUCAGUAAAAUAGUUAUGCUGCAGACCAAAAUUCCCACCAGCUGUGAAACAUCCCAGGUUCAAAUCAAUUCUACUGCAGAUUCAUUAACAUUCAGUAUUGUGCUCCCUAGACUACGUUUGAAAGUGUUGGGACAAGAUUCUAAAAGGAGGAGGAAAUCCACACAGCAAUAGAGUUUUCAUGAAUACUGACUACAGCUGAACUGUACAUACAAAUAAGUUAAUUCAAGUCUCUUGCUUACUUCAGUGGAAGCUUGAGAGAGUCCUGUGAGGAACUCCCCGAAUUCAGCAUAUGGAAAGGCUUGAGAGAUCAGGAAAACAAAGUUAUUGACACAUACGUGUGUAGUGAAAUGAACCUCAGCUCCAAAGUACCUGUGACAUGAGCCUCAGCUUUGGGAUUUUGGUUCCCACAGCUAUGAGAAGAAUCUUGCAUUCAUAGCUGCUUAGAGAUACACUCAACCCUGCUUCCUCCAUGGAACAAGAGAAAAACCCAGUAAGAACCCAGACUAGAGUAGAAGGGGGAAUGAUGGCUUCAGAAUGGAAGGUAAGGACAUCCACAGAACCAGCCUUCAGCUGAAAAGAGGUUUAGCAGGGAAAACUCCGUAUUUGGAUGCUUCAUAGCAAAAAGUAUUGAGGCAGAAUGGAAAAAAUGAUUUUUAUGGACACCUUCUACGGAAGGGUAUGGGACUUGUGUCUCUGGGCAUUUCGUUCCAUAAAAGCUUUGAUCUUUCACUCCCAUUCACAAAGAAGAAAACUUAAAAUGUAGGGUUAAAUGAGCCAUUGUAUACACAGAACACAGCAACUUUUAUAUUUUGCUACCAGGCAAAUGCAGUACAACAAAAACAUUAAACAGCCCAAAAAGUAAAGACUGAAUUAUAAUUUUAUGAUAAAAAUUAGCAUGAGAUAUGAAGUUGAAGUGAUCUUGACAAACAUUCUAUCCCCUGAAUGUGGUCAUUUUCUAUUAGUCUUUGGCUAAAAUUUCUUUUGAUAUACAGUAUAAGAAAUGUAUGAAGUAAUGAAUUUUAGGCUAUACAUAUACACACGCAAUGGAAACUGGGGACUUGACCCCUUUGAAAAUUCCAGCCUACAUGUUUAAUGUAGACAUUUGAUGAAAGGAAGUACUAGUCUUAAAACAUAACAUCUUUAAAGAAGCAGUGAGUAGAAUUACAUUAUCUUAGUUUUCUCUUUUUCCUGAGCAGAAAACAUAAGUUGAUGACAAACAUGAUGAGAUCAGCUCAUAUAUCACUGUCAGUGGAUAAGAUCUGGACGCGAUGAAACAGUUCAAGUAUUGGGGGGGCAAGCAUCACUGGUGAAAGAUCAAAGAGAAAUUCUGGCAAGAACUGCACAUACACCUUCAGCAGCAAAGCUUAUCUCAAUUUGGAGCAAGAUCAUCAGCUCCCUGUAAUCCAAACAAACUGCUGUAUUCAUUGGUCAUCUCCAUUUUUCUGUGUGCGCGCGAGAGAUAUGGACCCUUCUAGCAGAACUUAGUGCAGAUGAGAAACUUCCAUACAUUCCUGGACAUUUACUGCUUUGAUCAUAUCACUAAUAAAUAGGUCUGCAACAUCACCCACUGCACUGGAUCUUAUGAAGACCUCCUGUUGAUGGUGAAGAAGCACAAGCUGAAGUGGUAUGGCUAUAACACAAGAUCAUCUGGCCUAUCCAAUAUCCUUCAAGGGACAGUAAAGGGGAGGAGGAGAAGAAGAGGUAGAAUAAGAGCUGGAUUGACAACAUAAGAGUGGACAGGAAUGAAUUGUGUGGAGACUCAAGCAUUGGUACUCAAUUAUCAGAGAUGGAGACAAUUGGUUGAUUUCUCAUCAGUGAUGGUGCCCCCAAUGACCAAUGCAGUUAUGUAAGUGAUAAUGUUGUUCCUAUUGGAUUUUGCAUUUGUAAUAAGAAUAUUUGGAAUUGUAAGUAAAAUAUAAGGAACAAGUAGAAAUUUCAAGUUUUAAAUUUUGGGGGUUUUUU